AUUGAACGCUGGCGGCAGGCCUAACACAUGCAAGUCGAGCGGAUGAAGGGAGCUUGCUCCUGGAUUCAGCGGCGGACGGGUGAGUAAUGCCUAGGAAUCUGCCUGGUAGUGGGGGAUAACGUCCGGAAACGGGCGCUAAUACCGCAUACGUCCUGAGGGAGAAAGUGGGGGAUCUUCGGACCUCACGCUAUCAGAUGAGCCUAGGUCGGAUUAGCUAGUUGGUGGGGUAAAGGCCUACCAAGGCGACGAUCCGUAACUGGUCUGAGAGGAUGAUCAGCCACACUGGAACUGAGACACGGUCCAGACUCCUACGGGAGGCAGCAGUGGGGAAUGUUGGACAAUGGGCGAAAGCCUGAUCCAGCCAUGCCGCGUGUGUGAAGAAGGUCUUCGGAUUGUAAAGCACUUUUAGUUGGGAGGAAGGGCAGUAAGUUAAUACCUUGCUGUUUUGACGUUACCAACAGAAUAAGCACCGGCUAACUUCGUG
rnacentral:rRNA from 1 species